GCACCGAAGGCGAAAAUGGUGACGUGCGCACCUGAUUAGUGCGUUAUAGCAGGUACCCUGCAGGAAGUCUGACGCCUACGAUUCCUGCUCGGUGUACCA
rnacentral:tRNA from 1 species